GACGAACGCUGGCGGCGUGCUUAACACAUGCAAGUCGAGCGGUAAGGCCCUUUCAGGGGUACACGAGCGGCGAACGGGUGAGUAACACGUGGGUGACCUGCCCUCAGCUCUGGGAUAAGCCUGGGAAACCGGGUCUAAUACUGGAUAUGACUCCAUGACGCAUGUUGUGGGGUGGGAAGCCUUGUGCGGCUGAGGAUGGGCCCGCGGCCUAUCAGCUUGUUGGUGGGGUGAUGGCCUACCAAGGCGACGACGGGUAGCCGGCCUGAGAGGGCGACCGGCCACACUGGGACUGAGACACGGCCCAGACUCCUACGGGAGGCAGCAGUGGGGAAUCUUGCGCAAUGGGCGAAAGCCUGACGCAGCGACGCCGCGUGAGGGAUGACGGCCU
rnacentral:rRNA from 1 species